rnacentral:hammerhead_ribozyme from 1 species
AUCCAGCUAACGAGUCUCACAUAAGACAAAAUACGCAUCCUAGAU